rnacentral:rRNA from 1 species
UACGGAAGGCAGCAGUGGGGAAUAUCGCACAAUGGGCGCAAGCCUGAUGCAGCCAUGCCGCGUGUAUGAAGAAGGCCUUCGGGUUGUAAAGUACUUUCAGUCGUGAGGAAGGUGUUAAGGUUAAUAACCUUAGCAAUUGACGUUAGCGACAGAAGAAGCACCGGCUAACUCCGUGCCAGCAGCCGCGGUAAUACGGAGGGUGCGAGCGUUAAUCGGAAUUACUGGGCGUAAAGGGCACGCAGGCGGUUAAUUAAGUUGGAUGUGAAAUCCCCGGGCUUAACCUGGGAAUGGCAUUCAAGACUGGUUAGCUAGAGUCUUGUAGAGGGGGUUAGAAUUCCAUGUGUAGCGGUGAAAUGCGUAGAGAUGUGGAGGAAUACCGGUGGCGAAGGCGGCCCCUGGACAAGACUGACGCUCAUGUGCGAAAGCGUGGGGAGC